rnacentral:snoRNA from 1 species
AAAUCUGCUUCUACAAUGAUGAGAUCUAUCGAAAUGUACCCAAUUUUUCAAUACUUUAGGAAGAGCCGGAAAAGGUACGGCACAGUCUAGCAUCGCCAAAUGCUUGACAUAGCCGUCGGUGCUUAUAAACGGGACUCUGAAGCCUCAAACUCU